GGCCUUGCGCUCUUUGAGCGGCCGAUGUCAGAUUAGCUAGUUGGUGAGGUAACGGCUUACCAAGGCGACGAUCUGUAGCGGGUCUGAGAGGAUGAUCCGCCACACUGGAACUGAGACACGGUCCUGACUCCUACGGGAGGCAGCAGUGGGGAAUUUUGGACAAUGGGGGCAACCCUGAUCCAGCCAUGCCGCGUGAGUGAAGAAGGCCUUCGGGUUGUAAAGCUCUUUCGGCCGGGAAGAAAUCGCAUGGGCCAAUACCCUGUGUGGAUGACGGUACCGGAAUAAGAAGCACCGGCUAACUACGUGCCAGCAGCCGCGGUAAUACGUAGGGUGCGAGCGUUAAUCGGAAUUACUGGGCCUAAAGCGUGCGCAGGCGGUUUUGUAAGACAGGCGUGAAAUCCCCGGGCUCAACCUGGGAACUGCGUUUGUGACUGCAAGGCUAGAGUACGGCAGAGGGGGGUGGAAUUCCACGUGUAGCAGUGAAAUGCGUAGAGAUGUGGAGGAACACCAAUGGCGAAGGCAGCCCCCUGGGUCGAUACUGACGCUCAUGCACGAAAGCGUGGGUAGCAAACAGGAUUAGAUACCCUGGUAGUCCACGCCCUAAACUAUGUCAACUAGGUGUUGGGUGGGUAAAACCAUUUAGUACCGUAGCUAACGCGUGAAGUUGACCGCCUGGGGAGUACGGCCGCAAGGUUAAAACUCAAAGGAAUUGACGGGGACCCGCACAAGCGGUGGAUGAUGUGGAUUAAUUCGAUGCAACGCGAAAAACCUUACCUACCCUUGACAUGCCAGGAACUUGCCAGAGAUGGCUUGGUGCCCGAAAGGGAGCCUGGACACAGGUGCUGCAUGGCUGUCGUCAGCUCGUGUCGUGAGAUGUUGGGUUAAGUCCCGCAACGAGCGCAACCCUUGUCGUUAAUUGCCAUCAUUUAGUUGGGCACUUUAGCGAGACUGCCGGUGACAAACCGGAGGAAGGUGGGGAUGACGUCAAGUCCUCAUGGCCCUUAUGGGUAGGGCUUCACACGUCAUACAAUGGUCGGUACAAAGGGUCGCCAAGCCGCGAGGUGGAGCCAAUCCCAGAAAGCCGAUCGUAGUCCGGAUUGCAGGCUGCAACUCGCCUGCAUGAAGUCGGAAUCGCUAGUAAUCGUGGAUCAGCAUGUCACGGUGAAUACGUUCCCGGGUCUUGUACACACCGCCCGUCACACCAUGGGAGCGGGUUCCGCCAGAAGUAGGUAGCCUAACCGCAAGGAGGGCGCUUACCACGGCGGGGUUCGUGACUGGGGUGAAGUCGU
rnacentral:rRNA from 1 species